rnacentral:rRNA from 1 species
UACGUAGGGUGCGAGCGUUGUCCGGAUUUAUUGGGCGUAAAGGGCUCGUAGGCGACCUGUCGCGUCGGGAGUGAAAGCCCACUGCUUAACGGUGGGUCUGCUUCCGGUACGGGCGGGCUGGAGUAUGGCAGGGGAGACUGGAAUUCCUGGUGUAGCGGUGAAAUGCGCAGAUAUCAGGAGGAACACCGAUGGCGAAGGCAGGUCUCUGGGCCGAUACUGACGCUGAGGAGCGAAAGCGUGGGGAGCGAACAGG